GCGAUGUCCUGAUAAAAAACUGAAACAUUAGAAAAUACCUAAUAAUGCCUACAGGCAUAAACACAUCUCACAAAUGCAAAACUAAAACAUGUCCGAAAAAUAAAGAAAAAAUAAGAGAUUUUCAUAUGCCAUUCUUUCUGAAGUUAAACCAUAAAUAUAUCACUCAGUAUGUACAACAGAUAAUAUUUUAGCAAAAUAUACAACUGCUGCCAGUUAAAGAAAAAGGCACCAUGGUAUGAUGAUAUUGAAACAAUAAAAACUCGCACUAACACCAUAAAGUGAUGCACUGAAGAAAAUAUUCAGUGAUUGGAAUAGUCAGCUUGGUAUGCCUAACUUCAUAUGAACUGAGGAAAAAUUACAGAGAGAGAGAGAGAGUAUAGCACAACCACACAGCCACUGUCUAAACUCUGAAACCAAAACUUUCAUUGAGGGAUUCUUACCACACAGAGGCCAGACAAUGAUGGAAAUUCUCAGUAGAUGAAUGAACUAAUACUUUCUGGAUAUAAGGAGUAAGGAUUCUGAAAAUGAAAAUGAUAAGGAAGAAGAAACAACUGUAAGCAAAACCUUGAAUACACCUUGUGCGAAAAGAAAACAGCAAUUUUGGAUUCCCCAAUCAUUUAGGUUUAUUCUAAAACUACAUCGUCUUAGGAGUUAGCAGUAAUCAGGAGGAAUCAACAUGAUAACAUCAUAAUGGCAAUGUAAACAUUGAAACUCAGUGGACUCUAUGUGCUAAAGGGGAGUAGAGUACCAGGAUUCCACCAGUUCUGUUUUCAAAGUUUGAUUGUGUAGCAUUUG
rnacentral:misc_RNA from 1 species